rnacentral:rRNA from 1 species
CCUUGUACACACCGCCCGUCACACCACGGGAGUGGGUUUCACCAGAAGCCGGUUGCCUAACCGCGAGGGAGGCGCCGACCACGGUGAGAUUCAUGACUGGGGUG